ACGGUCGGAAAUGUGACCGGAUUCCUCCCAUAAGCCGACGGCGACACAACACAGUUAAAAUGUAGGAGUUAUACUCCGUGGACAGGGUUGUUACCUUCGCUGAUGCUGUCGUCUUCAACAUUGUCAUCGCCGCCACCACGACGACGACAAAUCGCUGACCCCCUCCAUUCGCCGCCUGCCGCCAUCUUUGACAGUUUAAAUCAGGAAUGUAACUGACGUCAAAAGCCUGGCAGUGGUUCUUAUCAGCGCGGUUCCGCUGGGGGAGCUUCGAACUGUGGCUCCGCGCGGUCCUAAUGCCCCUCGUCAACUGAGACCUUUGGAGCUCUGUUCCGAAAUCAAAGCGAAAAAGGCAACUCAAAACUCACGUCGAACAGGGAGCUGCUGAAUGCUGGAAAUCUGCAACCGAAACAGAAAUCAACAGUUCAAAAGUGAGAACAUUCACUGAAGAUUGGAUGAUAUUCAGUAUCAUUUUCAGCGCCUCAGAUACUGAAGCAAUCUCAGUCCAUAUGCAGCAAGACUGGGCAAUAUUCAGACCUGCACUGACAACCAGCAAGUAACAUCCAGGCCACACAAAUGUCAGAAUAAGGAUGUCACUGGUAUUUAUUGUACAUCUCUAAUUGUUCCAGAGAAGAUUGCGCCUUAGAUUCCUGGAGCCGGUCUUUGAAGUUUAGUCAGCAGAUAAUACCAGCAGUUGGAACAGGGAUGCCAGCCACCAGCAGCCAGAGAGGGGAUGUCGGCGACCAGUGAUCCAGUGCAGAGUGCGUUGGCAGCCAGCAGUCAGACCGCAUGGAGGCCCCCUAUGUUGGACUGCUGCCGAGAGCCUUUGGAAAGAGACUGUGAUGUUUGUCUUUUUAACUUUAUGUUUUUCUGACCUAUGGUUAUACUGUAUAUAGCUGUAAGGUAACUUUCGUUUUUUCAUUUCCCUAUUCUGUAACUAAGGAUUGUGCCUGGAUACCUUUUUGAGAUGAUGCUGUAAGUGGAGACUUAUAAACCUUUCACUGUGCUCAUUUGAGUACAUGUGACAAUAAAGCUAAUUCAU